ACGAACAGAAGAGGAGAAUGAAUAAGAAUAUAUGAGCAUGAGCAUGAGCAUGAGAGAUCACCCAUGGUUGCCCCUCCGUUGCAGAACAGAACCGUAAUAUCCUUUCAGCACUACUGAUUAUAGGCUUUAACGAUCUAGUGGUGUUUCCCUUAUCAACAGCAUGUAUGAAUGCGCCGAAAAGAUAUAACACCAUGAUUGCUAAAGCUAGAUCAGUUGCGAAUAGGUAACAGUCAUUGGCCACCAACGGCGCCCGCCAUGUCAGUUUGUAGACCUCGAUUUUAAGGGACGGGAAUGUUAGUUAGCGCAGGUUGCUACUAGGGCAGCUGAUUCACUCUGUGCUUACACCCCACGAGCGCCAGGAACCAGAAAACUUGUUAGUAGGAUAGGGUUUUUGGUCAGGAGUCAUCAUAGAAGAUGAUGAUGCGACCCAAAAUCAUAGAGUUUGUUGAACGGUAUUAUGUAUUAUUCUCAAGGCAAGCAAUCGGAUGCUCCGGAUGAGACAUAUUCCGUUUAUCGGUUGUUAAAUUUUAAAUGAAAUGGUUUAGUCUUAGACAGCCGGCUGUGGAAAGAUAGAACUAAAAUCAUUUGUAAUUAAAACUGAAGGGUUAAACAGUGUAAUUUUUAACUUGAGAUGAUUCCAAGAGCUUUAAAUGAUUGAUGUUUAGUGAGGUACUGAUUAACUUUGCGAAUGACGAGUUACGAUGCUUAUCGAGAUGAAAUGGUAUGAUAGGGGUUUGUUGUUGUUGCACGCCGCGACGGACACGAAAAAUCUUGCGACCCAACGGAAAGGCAUCGCAAAUCGGACUCUACACAAUCCUGUGUUUUUACUUUGUAAACAAACACAACCCUCCGCUCGCACUGAUGGAACAUAAUUGAAUGAUUCCCCCCCGUCCAGCGCGUCCCUUCACUCAAUAUUUUUGCAUGCACAAUCCUGUUUUUUCACUUUGUAAACAAACACAACCAUCCGCUCGCACUGAUGGAACAUAAUUGAAUCAGAAGAGGAGAAUGAAUAAGAAUAUAUGUGCAAAUAUGCAAAUUUUGAACAAUUCUAACACUUAUAAGUUUGGGGCGGCGAAAUCUUUUAGAAAUGCUGCUCGCUAACUGGGGUGAUCGAAAAAUGACGAGGAGAACAUCAAUGCAUUAUAUUUUCUCAUCAUAAAAUGUAAAUAAUAGUAACUCAAAAACAUUCACCGGUGGACAGAUUUCUAAUGGUACGUUCGUUUGAUUGCUAGUUCCGCACUGAGUGUCGCACUCAGAGCUGUCAAAGUGUUUCUUUGAAGAAACUAGCUCUAGUUCCGCACGAGUAUCGCCGCCAUCUUGGAACUGAAACUCUAGUGCCGCACUCGAUAUUUUUUCAGUUUCAUGCGAGUUCCAUGCACACUGACAAAUGACGUUCGAUUGAACCAAAACUGACACCGACGAGUGCGGCACUCAGUGCCGCACCGGUUCUUCAAACGAACGUACCAUAAGUCAUGUUUUGCAGGAGGAACUGGUCCACCGGUGCAAAAUGAACUGGUCCAUCGGUGGAUGGAAUACUUCCCAGGUUGAGCAGGAGGAAUCUUUUCACCGGUGGAAAGAUUUCUUAGUCAUGUUUUGCAGGUUUAAAAUAAAUUGCGCAUUUAAAAUACUCACUAAAUUUCCGUCGAAAAUGUUUAAAACUAUUUUUAAUUUAACACCAAAAAGGUGAUAUGCCAACAUUAAAUGCUCGAUGGAAUUAAAUGCUGAUCCCAAGUUCAAGUCCGAGAUUAAAUGUAAAUCUUUUUUAAGGACAAAAAAUAAACUAAAAAACGUAACUUAAUCCACCUUUAGGUGGUUGAUGCCUUCCUCUCAUUUAUAGAGUGAUAACAAUCCACUAAAGUGUCCACAUGGUUUAUGGAUCCCCCUUAACGUGAUCGCAGCACCUAAGAGGUCCUAAUAAAAAUAAGUGACGAGUAAAAAAAACACUUCCUACAGACUUUUUGUCAAGAUUAUACAGACACCGUCUUUCAGAAAAAUGGCAUCCCUUUACAAGGCUUUUUUCGUAGCGAUCAGACGGGAUCAUUUGAGGUUAUGUAAAUUCAGACCAUUUUUUAAACUGCUUGUAAUUUUAGAUAGGUAAGUCAGAUCUUGAAAAUUCUUAAUCCACAAGAAAGAUCUUCUCAUAUGCUUUCUAAAAAUAUAUAACAUGUGAGGCUUUCAUGAAAAAACCACCCUUUUUACCAUAAUUUUAAUUUAAUAUGAAACAGUUUUUUUAACAUAACUUUUUAAAUACAUGAUUAAACUGCAUGAAUUUAAAUAGCAACUUAGGGGACGUUAAGACGGAUCGAUUAAAACCAUUCCGGCCAAAGUCGGUUGAGCCUGUGACAAGAUAUUUCAGUGACAUUGAUUUGGUACACAUGUCUACAUACAGCCAAACACACAGACAUUUGCUCAGCUGGUGAUUCUGAGUCGAUAUGUACAAAUGAAGGUAGGUCUAUGAGGUCUAACUAAAAAGUUCGUUUUUCGAGUGAUUUUAUAGCCUUUCCUCAGUAAAGUGAGGAAGGCAAUAAUAUUUUUUGUAAAUUAUGACCGAUGCGCACACGAACUUUUCAAACGCUACGCGCCAAAAACUUGGUUCGAUCUUUGUUCGAUUUUGACUUCACUCGCCUUGUAUGUGGAUGACAGUCGUGACGUAGCCGUGGCUACGCGUCGAGGAGGAGCUCAAGAAACGGUUCCGGAUCACAUCCCUGGGGCCGGUGCAUCUCUUUCUCAGAAUCGCUGUGAACCAGGACGCCGACGCACAGUGGAUCUUCUCCGUGUGACAAAAUUAAAAAAAUGUCAGGUAUUCUACCAAAUAUGUCAUAUUAGGGUAAUUUUGGGCAGCUGAAUUCAAAAAAUACAUUUUUUUCAUGAAAUAAAAUCUAAGUACAUUAGGGUGGUUCAUAAAUUAUUAUUAUUAUAUUUUUUUUAAUUGCUGAAAUUGUUUUUUUUUUUAUAUCAGUAGUAGCUUCAAAUUUUAAUUUUGUGUGUGUGUAAAUCUAAACAAAUAAAAUGUUAGGAUUGGGGCACAAUCUGGAUGUGUCUUUUGAAGAUUUGCUGACUCUUGGUGAGAGUGUUCCAUUCCAUCAUUAUUUGCUGAUUUUAUUCUCUUAUAUUAUUAUAUGUAUUAUAAAUUAAAUAACCCUCCUACCCAUUCCUCUCAUUCCCGUUCCACAAUCUCAAAUUGCCCAAUUCCACUUCACCCUAGAAAUAUAAUAUCUGCCCUAGUUUAUAUCACCCUGCUGUCAUUGAAGGGGACGCUUUGUUAUGAUUCGUUUUUCUUCGCCGAAUGUAUACACGCUUACCAGGGGAACUCAAAUUUGAGUGGAUCCAAGCAAAACGGCGCAAACCGUAGUCAUACAAAUUUGACAUCGAGUACCCGAACUUAAUUUUAACAUGGUGGAGCCGAUGUCAAAUUUGACAUGCGAUGGGUACCGGAAAAAUCCUCCGGGAAAGCAGAAAAACGGUUCCGGGGGACGGAUAUCGGUUCGGAAUGGUAGUAGAAAGGAAAUUGUCGAUCUGGGCUAGUUUUUUGGUGACUUUAUUUAUAUGUUAUUUUAUUAAAUUCGAUUUUCAUUAAUCAUUAUUAUUUUCAGCAUUUAAUGCAACGGUUCCAGCGACUACGGGUGGACGAGGACUACCGAGUGACACUUGCUAGAGACCGGAUGACGAUGCUCUUGUCGAGCGGAUCGCCGGGGAUAAUCUGCCAGUGGUGAAAGACAUCGAACGAAUCGCUGGACGGGAUGAAUGCUUUGAUGGUGUAGAGGGGGGAACCGGAGACGAGUGCGUCCUGGGUGACGGGGGCACGUCGCCGGGCGAGUACGGCUUGCACUUCGACGAAGAGGCACGGUUCCAUGAGGCGGGGUGUUGCCAUGACAAAGGCUGAGUAGGCGAUUCGGCGGGUGAUUGGGAUGAAUUGACCACCUCCGCGAUGGUGCGGUUCCUGGGCGAUGACGGCGUCGAGAAUCCGGAACUUAACGUGUCGUAUGUGUUCCCCGCACAGUGGUUUUUAGCGUGUGUCCCACUAGAUCCAUUGCAUGAUGGAGUCUUUGAUGGCGCCGAGUUUUGUCCACUCUGCGCUUGGGCUAGAGUUGCUUCGAAAGAGGAUGAGUAGAAGAUCAUUCCACGGUGGGGAAGGCGUACUUUGUUUGUCUCCACCAGGGUUCUUAUAAAGGCAAACUCAGAUCGUUGCGGAACUUGGGGGAGCGUGCAAUUUCCAGAAGCUCCUCUUCGGCGUAGACAUCCGAGAUCGAGCCGGAUCUACGACGGCGUUCCUCCGAAGGGGCAGUGGACAUUUUCGAGUCAGUUACAUGAAGCACCUUGGGAGCCGGCGGCGUGGAUAGCGGUUCGAACGCGUUUGUGGAACUGGCCGUGUCGAGGAAAGGCCAACGGGGUAAGGUAGACAGCAUCUGGGGAACGGAAGUUCAAGUGCAAAUGAGUGUGCAACCUUUGACCACGAACGAAUAGCGCCAGACGAUGAACCGCAGGAUGCGAACAAGUCCGUUCCAAAACUGGUUCCCAGGGUAGGUUCAACAGAAAAGUCGUAACUCUGGUCUCGCGCGCUUUUGGCAAUUCUUCCUGCGAUCGUUCAACUCAUCUGCAAAUAUUUGUAUGAAUUAGCACAAACUUUUCGCGUAAAGGUUAAAUGAUCCGAACCUUAACCUGCACCAAAACCUCCGUGGAAAUCGUGUCCGGUUCAAUCUCAACCUUGACCACUUCAAACUGGGUGCAGAUGUGAUAUUUUAGCCGCUUUCGCAAAUCCUUCAACAUCGAGCAGGACAAUUUUCCCGAUAAACCUGAGCGGACCUUUGUCCAACCCACCGUGGAGUUGGCUCUGGCGAUUCCGUGAUCGGUUCGGCUUGCUCGCCCACCGGAGCAGAUGGUUCCGACGAUGGUUCCGCAAUAUCCUUGCUCGCCACUUUCACCCUACGGUCUUUAAGCUAAUCGAGGGGUUGCUGGACAAGGAUGUUCUCCGGGCAGUCCAUUCUGUCGACAACAAUCUGAUUGUUGAGUUCUUGCUGUUCGCGAUCGAUGAUGCUGUUAAUUCUGGCCGAAUCGGCAACGAGCUGGUGGGGAUGCUUUUGCAGACCUUGGGAUCGUACAGCUUAGAUGUCGGUGGACCAUCGGAGGUAUCUUCCGAAGCCAGCGCAAGUGUAAUCGAGGACCUCCCACGGGGCAUCAGCUGGAAAGUAACGUACUACUCCUGAACCGUACUCUAGCAUGAUGGAGAUGUGGUAAUAACUGCAACUGUUUGUUAAAUUAUAAUUUCAUCAUUAUCACUUGCAGCAUUUGAGCCGAGAAUCUUGUUUGGACGACGGAAUUGAUUACGGGUACAAGAGGACUAUCGAGUGACACUUGCCGAUAUCAAUGAUGAGUUCGCCGACGAGGUCGCGCGGGGUGUCGGUUCAGGCGAUUAACUGCAUGUUGUCUCGAUUAUGCGCAUGUCCUAUGGCGUCAAAGACCUUCGGGUAUUGGCCGUAGUCGAACCAGAGUGUGAGGAGGCGAAGGAAGUUUCUUUGGGAGAGGUUGAACGAGCGGUAGAACCUUCCACGGCAAAACGGAUAAAAUCUUUGAUGGUGUAGAGAGGGGAACCGGGAACGGGUGCGUCGCCGGACGAGGACGGUGUACACGAAGGAAACGCAAUCGGCGGGGUCUUGCACUUCGAUGAAAUGGUACGGUUCCAGUAGGCGACUCGGCGUGAGGUUGGGCUGAUUUGGCCACCUCCGCGGUGGAACGGUUCCUGGGCGAUGGAUUGGUCCAGGAUUUGGAACUCGACGUUUAGAAUGGGAUUCUUCGUAGAGUGGUCUUCGCGCGUGCUCCACUGGAAACUUUACACGAUGGAGUCUUUGACGGUACCGAGCAGGACUUUGUUUGGGCUGGUGUUGUCCGGACCGAAGGCCCAGGUAGAUUGUGCCGCAAUCAGAUCCCAGUCGUAGCUGACCGGUACCGCAAUCAUCGUAAUCUUGUUCUUUUUGUUGGGCGUCUCGAAACACUUGAACAAUCUCGUCUCGCAA